GUGCUCACUUCAGUGGCACAUGUACUAAAAUUGGAAUGAGAGAUUAGCAUGGCCCCUCAUCAAAGAUGACACACAAAUUUGUGAAGUGUUACAUUUAUUU
rnacentral:snRNA from 1 species